rnacentral:rRNA from 1 species
CCUACGGGUGGCAGCAGUGGGGGAUAUUGCACAAUGGGGGGAACCCUGAUGCAGCGACGCCGCGUGGGUGAAGAAGGGCCUCGGAGCGUAAAGCCCUGUCAGCAGGGAAGAAAAUGACGGUACCUGAAGAAGAAGCAACGGCUAACUACGUGCCAGCAGCCGCGGUAAGACGUAGGGGGCAAGCGUUAGCCGGAUGUACUGGGGGUAAAGGGGGCGCAGCCGGGCGUGCAAGCCAGGAGUGAAAGCCCGGGGCCCAACCCCGGGACUGCUCGUGGAACUGCGGGGCUGGAGUGCAGGAGGGGCAGGCGGAAUUCCUGGUGUAGCGGUGACAUGCUUAGAUAUCAGGAGGACCCCCGGUGGCGCAGGCGGCCUGCUGGACUGCAUCUGACGUUGAGGCCCGAAAGCGUGGGGAGCAAACAGGAUUAGAUACCCCAGUAGUC